GACGGAGGAUGCAAGUGUUAUCCGGAAUCACUGGGCGUAAAGCGUCUGUAUGUGGUCAAAUAAGUCAACUGUUAAAUCUUGAGGCUCAACCUCAAAAUCGCAGUCGAAACUAUUAGACUAGAGUAUAGUAGGGGUAAAGGGAAUUUCCAGUGGAGCGGUGAAAUGCGUAGAGAUUGGAAAGAACACCGAUGGCGAAGGCACUUUACUGGGCUAUUACUAACACUCAGAGACGAAAGCUAGGGUAGCAAAUGGG
rnacentral:rRNA from 1 species